rnacentral:misc_RNA from 1 species
AAUUACUAUUAAGUCUCACUUUAUACAUUAAUCAUUUUUCAUAUAUGCAUCUCAUAUAUAUACACAAUAUACAUCACAUCACAUCACAUAUAUAUAGAAAACGAUAAUAUAAAAAGUAUAAUCAUGGACUAUCCAUAGGCCUAAUCCCAACCACUAGGUUUAGGGUUAAUGAGUCUAGAGUUUCCAUCCAUUCAAAAAUACAAAUUACAUAACACAAGUCUUCAACUCCUUGAUGCCUUGUGCUCCCUUUGAUCUCCAUCGUUGUUUGGCUUCCUUUCUUUUUGUAAACUCCAAUGUCAUUACAUUUUAUAUCUUUGACAUACUAAGGCAAGAUUACAACUGAAAGGAGCUCACAGCCCAAUUGAAUAAAGUCACAAACCUAGACUUGUAAUUUAAAUUAAUAACAUAUUCCCAAAAUAAUAAGAAAAGCAAUCACAAGUUUCCUAAGUCUAUGAUCACCCAUCAUGCAUAUCAAUUACUCAAUAUUUGAAUGAAAAUAUAAUAUGGAACAAUUUCAUAAAUUGAACAUGUCAUAUUUAGCAUUAAAACAUUGAAAUCUCAUUUUAAAAUUUAAUUUAUUUAGUUGAGGAAUAGGUUAAGAGAAGAAUUUACUAAGUUAUUAUAUAAGUUACUUUUUAUAAAAGUUUCAUCUUAUACCAAUAUAUAUAUAUAAAAGAUG